rnacentral:rRNA from 1 species
GUAAAGAGGGAUAGGAGAAUUGGAGGGCAAGUUUGGUGCCAGCAGCCGCGGUAAUACCGACUCCAAGAGUGUGUAUGAGAGAUGCUGCAGUUAAAAAGUCCGUAGUCAUAGAAGGGCAAAGAGAGAUGCGAGGUCUCACAGUGCGAUGAUGGAGGAGCCGAUGGGGAACAUAGUAUACCAGGGCGAGAGAUGAAAUGCCAAGACCCCUGGUGGACUGAGCGAGGCGAAGGCGAUGUUCUUGUAGGCAUUCGGUGAUCAAGGACGAAGGCUGGAGUAUCGAAAGUGAUUAGAUACCGCAGUAGUUCCAGCAGUAAAAGAUGCCGACAUGCUCAUUGGACACAGUGGGCAGGGAGAAAUCUUAGAGUUCGGGCUCUGGGGAUAGUAUGCUCGCAAGGGUGAAAAUUAAAGAAAUUGACGGAGCUACACCACAAGGAGUGGAUUGUGCGGCUUAAUUUGACUCAACGCGAGGAAACUUACCAGGGCCAAGUAUUGUGUAGAAACGAGCAAUACAGGAGUGGUGCAUGGUCGUUGGAAAUUGAUGGGAUGACUUUGACCUUAAAUGGUUGAAUGAGUGAGAUCUUUUGGACAUGUUCCGCACGGAACAGGAAGGAAAAGGCUAUAACAGAUCCGAGAUGCCCUCAGAUGCCCUGGGCUGCACGCGCAAUACAAUAGCAGGUAGAGAGAGAGACAGGAAGGUGCUCAGAUGGACUAUGUGCUGUAAGGCACAUACGAAAGAGGAAUUCCUAGUA